rnacentral:rRNA from 1 species
UACGGAGGGGGCUAGCGUUGUUCGGAGUUACUGGGCGUAAAGCGCACGUAGGCGGCUUUGUAAGUUAGAGGUGAAAGCCCGGGGCUCAACUCCGGAAUUGCCUUUAAGACUGCAUCGCUUGAAUUGUGGAGAGGUAAGUGGAAUUCCGAGUGUAGAGGUGAAAUUCGUAGAUAUUCGCAAGAACACCAGUGGCGAAGGCGGCUCACUGGUCCGGUACUGACGCUGAGGUGCGAAAGCGUGGGGAGCAAACAGG